UGGGGUAUAGCUCAGUGGUAGAGUGCAUACUUAGCAUGUGCGAGGUCCUGGGUUCAGUCCCCAGUAUUUCCA
rnacentral:tRNA from 1 species